rnacentral:rRNA from 1 species
UAAUACAGAGGGUGCGAGCGUUAAUCGGAGUUACUGGGCGUAAAGGGCGCGUAGGCGGUUAUAUUAGUGUGAUGUGAAAGCCCUGGGCUUAACCUAGGAAGUGCAUCGCAAACGGUAUAACUGGAGUAUAAGAGAGGGUGGCGGAAUUUCCGGUGUAGCGGUGAAAUGCGUAGAGAUCGGAAGGAACGUCAAUGGCGAAGGCAGCCACCUGGCUUAAUACUGACGCUGAGGCGCGAAAGCGUGGGGAGCGAACAGGAUUAGAUACCCUGGUAGUCCACGCUGUAAACGAUGAGGACUAAAUGUUGGUGGGGGAACCCAUCAGUAUUGAAGCAAACGCGAUAAGUCUUCCGCCUGGGAAGUACGGCCGCAAGGUUG